UACACUCCUGCGGGAGGCAGCAGUAGGGAAUCUUCCACAAUGGGUGCAAACCUGAUGGAGCAAUGCCGCGUGAGUGAAGAAGGUCUUCGGAUCGUAAAGCUCUGUUGUUAGAGAAGAACACGUGCUAGGUAACUACUAGCGCCUUGACGGUAUCUAACCAGAAAGUCACGGCUAACUACGUGCCAGCAGCCGCGGUAACACGUAGGUGACAAGCGUUGUCCGGAUUUAUUGGGCGUAAAGGGAGCGCAGGCGGUCUGUUUAGUCUAAUGUGAAAGCCCACGGCUUAACCGUGGAACGGCAUUGGAAACUGACAGACUUGAAUGUAGAAGAGGAAAAUGGAAUUCCAAGUGUAGCGGUGGAAUGCGUAGAUAUUUGGAGGAACACCAGUGGCGAAGGCGAUUUUCUGGUCUAACAUUGACGCUGAGGCUCGAAAGCGUGGGGAGCGAACAGGAUUAGAUACCCGAGUAGUCCCA
rnacentral:rRNA from 1 species